rnacentral:lncRNA from 1 species
UCAAACGAAAUCAAUAAUCGCCUUUCAAAGUUGUUAAUUCGAUUUCAGUAAUUUUCUAAUACGAAAAUUUUAAUUUUUCUCUUUUAAUCAACGUAUUUCUUAUUGAAUUAAUGGCCUGUUGUGGCCGAAAUCCGCGCGGAAGUCGUACGUUGUGUGUUUUGCGUUAAGUUCUGGAGUUCGUGGCGGUGUUGUUAUUAAGUGAGGAAGAGAAAAAUUGUUUACAUUUUUUGUUGUUGAACUGCAUAGAAGCGAAUUGUUCUAAUUGUAUAGUUAUUUUUUCUGCAUGUUGCCGAUAAUUUCAUCUAAUUGCGGUAAUACUAAUACACAUACCUGCUGAAAUGGCAAGCUGUAUUAAAAGAAUAACCAUGUUCAUCGCUUUUAGCAUAUGAUGUGCUCAUCGGCGACCACUUAUUGUCUGAGUUUUAAAAUAAAAUUAGAAUCAAAAACUUGAAAUAUUAGCGAAAAGUUUGUAAAUUCCGACGAUUCUCAUAAAAGUUGAUUCUACGUUACUGGAAUCGAACCGGAUAUUAUAUGCCUAAAUACUGUCAACCCUCCAGCAUUCUCCCAAAUUACUUCUGGAACGAUACACCAACAACAAUACUUUUAUGAAACUUCCGUUCUUUCAAUAAACAGCUUUCCAGAAACAGACCGGGAUUUGUUCCAGCCAAUUGCUGCCGUUCUCAACCGAAAUCUGUUUAAUUUACGGUGCAUACCGAAAAGUCGGAUUUUUAUGCACGAGAUUUUAGUAUUUUAUAUCAUCUCCUGUAGGGUGGCAUGAUUAAAGAAUGAUUUAAUUAAAUUUGUUUUUAUUUUGUAACCCAAAAACCUUAUUUAAAAUAUUCUUU